rnacentral:lncRNA from 1 species
UUGCUCGAUGACGGAACACGAAUGCGUGAUCGUCGGAAUAGUACUUUUGCAGGCGAAUUGGUUGAGGUUGGGCGUACACGGAGUUGAGGCAUAGUCAACAGCAUGGCUUCCGCAUCUGCCUUUGAAUUAGGUUUUCCUGUUAUACCUUUCUGUUAGAAUUGCUCUGAUUACCUAUGAGAUUUAUGCUUCUCGAGUUGAGAUGUGUGUUUUGUGAAUUGGAGACUGAUGUUGAUUUGGGGAGCAGGGUGGCUCCAGG